UAAAUCAGCAUCUCCUAGCCAGCAACAGGUUUUACCUCCCGCAAUCCCAUGUGUAAAAUAACAUUAGGUAAACCCAUUACCUAACAUUCUCCACAAGUGUGAUUGUUGAGCUAAAGCUCUGCCUCUGGCUUUGGGUGUAAAGGCUCCUGGAAGAACCUGGGGAGCUUCAUUCCUGCGCUUUGCUCCUCUCUAGAACAGCCUGCUGUAACAAACAGAGAGGGAUCUGAGAAUGAACGGAUGUGGCCACCCUCUGAGAUUGAGGAGGAGGAAUGACCACGCACUCCUACCAUGUGUCUGUUUCCUUGAAAUGUAGGGGUCUCCCUGCCACCCCCUCCUUUGGGUGAGGAAAGAGGGUGCUCAGGAGCCACCAGCUCACCUUGGCAGUGGGAUUACGUAGUCUGGCUUCCUCUCUCCCACAUUCUGCCUGUUGUUAGUUGCUACCAAUGCCUCUGAUGGGGUGUGUAAGCCCCACACUGGGGAACCAAGGGUUAAUAAGCAGCUCUGUGCCCAGAAUGCCCCCUCCUCAGAGAAGCUGAAGCUGCAGAGAGGCUGUGGGAGCUCCACACCGCCUGGACUGGACUCCGCUGCUGAGCCACCAGAGGCCCCGUGGAGACUGGGAAUAGAGAGCCUCAAUUGGAGGAGAAGAACCUCUGGAUGAUGGCCAGGAGGACACCUGGCCAGGAGGACACCUGCCCAUGACUCCAGAAACUGGCCCCUGCUGUGACUUUGGAGGGGGAGAGGCUAUGGUAGGAAGUGCCCAGGGAGCAGGCAUGUUGGCUUCCACCCCAGGCCACAUGUGCAACCUGCUAGUCAUAGGCCCUGGGUCUGAACCCCCUGGAGCAAGGAGGGCCGGGUUCCCCUACUACCAGCCCCACAGGCUCUUUCCACUGAGCAGUGCAGCCAUAGACCCUCACCACUGGGCAACACUCAGUUCACAGCAGCAGUCAAAGAGGCUAGCAGUAUGUUAGGAACUAUUAGGAAAGGGAUAGAAAAUAAAAUAAAAAAUAUCGUAAUGCCGCUAUAUGAACCCAUGGUGGACCCACACUUUGGAUAUGUAGUAUUAGGAUUUUAUGUUUUAUGUAUUUUAUAUAAUUUAGAAUGAAGGAUAAAGUAUAAUAAUGUAGCAUGUAUUGAUGUAUGAUAUGAUUUGACCAUAUUCUGCCAGCCACCCUUUCUGAAAGCAGAACGGAAUGGCCUAGUGUGCCAGAAUCUUGUGUCUGAAGCUGAUUUCAAGGCAGUAACAGACCUUUAGGGUCACCGCUUUGUUGUAGGUUUAGCAUUUUGAAAUAAGUAAAAGAACGCCAUGAUUGUUUUCUCCUGCAUUGCAAUUUGAUGUUCCUGUUCAAAUGCUUUGUGUAAAUCAAUCCUGUUUUGUGUGUGACUGAGAAAUGUGUGUGUUAGAAGAUAAGUGUGAAGGCCAUCACCGGAACAGAUGUUCUAGGGAGGAAUCGAGGACAGACGUAAAGGCACCAGGAGAUUGCAACACGCCCCUAUUGAGAUGUCAGAGGAGGGCAGAUUGAUAACUCUAAAAGAUGUAGCUGGCACCCAUCAACGGGGACAAGAGAGCUGUGAACCAAACUAGAAUGAGGUAACUCCCUGAGAGACUGAUAAAAGAACAAGAUAAAGGAUGAGAAGAACAAUUUAAGAAAACAAGCACUCGUCAAACGACAAUUGAUUACAGCACAACAGUGCAAAACUCAUUGGUCCCAGUGAAGGAAAAUCACUAUAUUUACAGGGGGCCUUGCCAUGAAACUUUGGGUUUGUCCUGCCAAGACUUCCCUGGAGCAUCGUGUCACGACCGAGAGAACCUGGCUCCUACUACCUGUGAUCAACCUUGCUGGCCACUAGAUUGAUCCGGACUCUGGAUUGGUAACUAUAACAUUGACUGGCGGGAGUGUGUUUGUGUGUGUGUGGUGCGAUUGAAUGCAUAUGCUAAUUGUUGUAUCUCCAAUAAAC